rnacentral:rRNA from 1 species
UACAGAGGGUGCGAGCGUUGUCCGGAAUCACUGGGCGUAAAGGGCGCGUAGGCGGCUUGAUAAGCGUGCGGUGAAAGCCCGGGGCUCAACCCCGGGUCGGCCGUGCGAACUGUCGAGCUGGAGCACUGUAGGAGGCAGGUGGAAUUCCGGGUGUAGCGGUGGAAUGCGUAGAGAUCCGGAAGAACACCGGGUGGCGAAGGCGGCCUGCUGGGCAGUGGCUGACGCUGAGGGCGCGACAGCGUGGGGAGCAAACAGG